CUUUUUCUCCCCGCGCGCGCGCGGUAGGACGGCGGCGGGAGAGAGCCCGGGAGGCGAGCGAUUUGGGGAAGUGGGCGUGGGUAGCCCGCAGGUUCGAAAAUGGUGCUGCGCCGGUUGCCUGGGAUGCGCGCGUGAAGCUGCCCUAAUUAGUGUUUGCUGCAAGUUCUAAGGUCUUUCCUCCCAGUAACUCAAAAUCUAUUUACUUUUUUUCCCCCACUGUAGCAGAAGCUGCUUUGACAACGACCAGUGUAGUCUAUGUAUGCCCUUCUGCAGAUGCGUUCCUAGGGUCUAGAUUCCACAACGCUGAAAUCUACAGGAUUGCAUCCUUUCCAAUGCUGUUUGGCAUUUGGGGACGUUUUUAAAAAUCAUUUUCAUUCGUCUCCACCCCCCCCCCUUGUGUUUAUGGGUGUUUUACCUGCGAGCAUGUCUGCACCGCGUGUGUGCAGUACCCCAGGGAGGCUGAAGAGAGCGUUGUCCCUGGGAUUGGAGUUAGAACCCAACAUGGGAGUUGCCAUGUGGGUGUUUUUGAGAGGCGAAGGAAGAAACUACCAUUCCAACUUAAGUGUCUGGGCAAGAUGAACUUUACUCUUUAUCAAGCGGGUAUGCUCGAAGAGUGAAUACAUACAAGUCAGGAAGUGUGUUUGGUGAUUAUUUUAACUUAGGGUGUGGCCUGUGUGUGUCUCUUCCUCCUGAUUUGAGGUCCCGUUGUUUCACAGCCUGAUUUGAUUGGCUAGUCUGAAAAGAAUUGGUGCACAGGAAGUGGAGGAUGGGGAAAGGGGCCAUUGGAAUAAAGGAGCAGUUCUUUGAGUAAACAGUAGUUUUUCUGGAUCUGAAGGAUCGAAACAUUUUCAUUAAAAGUCUCACAAGGUGGAGGAAGAUAAAAAGAUUUCAAUUCUUUGUCUUAAACCCAAGUUUUAUAGUAUCCAUAGAAAAGACUUGUGGUGGUUUAAAUAUGCUUGGCCCAGGGAGUGGCACUAUUAGUAGAUGUGGCCUUGUUGGAGGAAGUCUGUCACUGUGGGCAUGAGCUUUAAGACCCUCAUUCAUGCUGGCUGCCUGAAAGUCAGUCUUCUCCUGUUUGCAUUUGGAGCAAGAUGUUGAACUCUCAGCUUCUCCUGUACCAUGCCUGCCUGGAUGGUGCCAUGCUCCCACUUUGAUGAUAAUGGACUGAACCUCUGAACCUAUAAGCCAGCCCCAAUUAAACGCUAUCCUUCUAAGAGUUGCCUUGGUCAUGGUUAAACACUUGUCAUAAGACAAGACUCUUACUUGGUAUUUCUCACACACUGGCGAUUGAACCGGGGUCUCUAAAAAGGCAGCCAGUGCAUCUAACCAUAAAAAGAAGAAAAAUCACUUUUCCAGUCUCAAAUUCUGCUUGCUUAUUUUUAAAAAUAUUUUAUGCUAUUCCAUGUAUAUGAGUAUUUUGUCUACAUGUGCAUCUAUGUACACUUCAUGUAUGUGAAGCGCCAACAGAAGCCAAAAGGUGUGAGACUCCCUGGGAUUGGAUUCGGAUGUCAGCUGCCAUGUGGGUGCAGGGAACUGAAACCCAGCCCUCUGUAAGAGUUCUGUGAAAAACGUCAAUGACAUUUUGCAGGAUACAUUGAAUUUGAGGUUCCCCUAGCACACCUUUAGUGAAUGCCUUUAAGAAACAAACACAUGAGAGUCACGGAGUUGAGAAGACCCACUCAAAAUUUGGGUCAUGCCCUCUAAUGGCAGCCUACAUGAAAGGACCUGGAAAAUGGAAGAUUGUGCCCUUUGCUUGCUUGCCUGUCUAUCUGUCCUGUCUAUCUGUCCUGCUGCUGAGGCACUGUUUUCCUAGAUGGGACUCCAACAAGACUGAAGACCAGCUGACAUCCUAGUAGACUGAACUGCUACAGGAAUCCUGACCUUUCAUCAGCCAUUGUUGGACAUUUCAGACCAUAUCUGUAAACCACUCUAAUCAAUUCGUGUGUGUUGGUGUAACUUAACAUAGUCAGUUUAAAGAUUGUAGGCAGCAGCAUCCCAUGAGUUGGAGUCCUGGGCUUCGUAAAGUGGAGAAAGCAAGUGGAACACCAGAAUUCAUCUCUUUGCUUCCUUACGCCCAGUUCUCCCACUGCCAUAGCUAGAACCAUCUAGUACCACAUCACUGACUACAGUAUGUUAUACCUCAAAACUCUUCCAAAAUAAGCUGUUUAUAAGAAACAUCAAGUUAUUUGGAAAAUUGUAGGGUUUCUCCUGUUGCAAAUUGUACACAUGCGCAUUAAAGUGAGCAAAGGGGUUACAUCUUUAAAUAUCAACACAGAGAGGGCAGAGACAGGCAGAUCCCUGUGAGUUCAGGGCCUACUCUGCUCUACAUAGUGAGUUCCAGGCCAGCCAGGGUUUCAUACUGACACCUUUCCUGAGAGAGAGAGAGAGAGAGAGAAAGAGAGAGAGAGAGAGAGAGAGAGAGAGAGAGAGAGAGAGAGAGAGAGAGAGAGCUGUUUGUGUCAUUCGUUAGUGGUGUGUGUGUGUGUGUGUAUCCUCUUGUAUCCCUGCCUUGCUCCUUACCCACCUGUGGCAGGAGGGAGAGAGCCAUCCCUGCCUCCUACUGGCUGCAGCACCCGAGAGCAGAACCCACGCUCCUGGGCAGCACAGUAGAGCUGCCCUGAUGGUGCAGGCACAGGUGAUCUGGCCCCAAGGACAGGCAGUCUGGAGAGCUGACCCUGCCCCUUGUUGGCUCCAGUGCUGGGUGAGUUAGCUGGGGCGGUGCUGGAGAGCUCACCCUGGUGGUGGGAUGUGGAAUAUCUGCUAGGCUGACCAACUCAGCCACCUCCCAGGCCCAGAUCCGGGGCUUUGAGUUGGCCAACCCUAAGAUCUACCCCAUCUGUGACCUGCUGGAAAGGGCCAGCCCUGCAGAACCAAAGCUGCAGGCUCUCCAUGACGCAGGGCAACAACAGGAUAUCUGAGAGGAGGCCUGGUGAGGAUCCAGUAUUGAUAGUGUAGCAGAAGCCAGAGGCCUCUAAUCAGGCCAAUGCCUCACUGCAAUGAACAUUGGCAAGUAAAGGCCUGUGGAUACACAUUCGGGGACACACUGACAUAUUACAGCUUCCACGACAAGAUUUUUUUAAAAUAAUUUUUUAUUCUAUCUUUUCUUUUGUGGGGGAGGUUGUAAGGGCAAAGGGUAGAUAUGAAUAAAUGGGCAGAUGAAUAGGAUUGGGGUGCAUACUAAGAAAUUCACAAAGAAUGAAUAAUUUUUUUAAAAAAAGGAAAAGAAAGAAAGCAAGAAAAACCUGUAUUGUAUCGAAGUUGAACACAACUGGAGCUCAAGUAAAACUGAUCAGAAAGUUCUUUAAGUGCCAGCAGAGGGCAGUCCACCCCAAACUUCUACUUUUGAAGUUUAGUAAUCGGUUUUCCUAAUUCAAAGUACUAACAGGCUUUCAGUCUGUUGAAAAUUGAUAAGCACACAGUCAGAGAAGAUUUGCUUAGCAUUCGAGGAGCUCUAGGUUCAAUCUUCCAUAACCCCCGCCAAAAGAACUAUUAGUCAGGUUUGGCCAGUAGAAAAUUUAUAUGGAAGUGUUCAAAUGUUUUCAAAGGUUUAUUACUUAUUUUAUAUUCUUACAUUAGAUAGCAAAUUAAUUAAUUUUACUAUGUGUUGUGAUGGAUGCUGUUGUUUAUGAUUGGAAUAAAAUCUUUUCCUUAUA